rnacentral:tRNA from 1 species
GCUGUGGUUCAGUGGAAGAGCCUCGACUUUUCAUGCAGAAGGUCCCUGGUUCAAUCCCCGGCAUCUGCA